CAUGGCUCAGAUUGAACGCUGGCGGCAGGCCUAACACAUGCAAGUCGAGCGGUAGAGAGAAGCUUGCUUCUCUUGAGAGCGGCGGACGGGUGAGUAAUGCCUAGGAAUCUGCCUGGUAGUGGGGGAUAACGUUCGGAAACGGACGCUAAUACCGCAUACGUCCUACGGGAGAAAGCAGGGGACNUUCGGGCCUUGCGCUAUCAGAUGAGCCUAGGUCGGAUUAGCUAGUUGGUGAGGUAAUGGCUCACCAAGGCGACGAUCCGUAACUGGUCUGAGAGGAUGAUCAGUCACACUGGAACUGAGACACGGUCCAGACUCCUACGGGAGGCAGCAGUGGGGAAUAUUGGACAAUGGGCGAAAGCCUGAUCCAGCCAUGCCGCGUGUGUGAAGAAGGUCUUCGGAUUGUAAAGCACUUUAAGUUGGGAGGAAGGGCAGUUACCUAAUACGUGAUUGUUUUGACGUUACCGACAGAAUAAGCACCGGCUAACUCUGUGCCAGCAGCCGCGGUAAUACAGAGGGUGCAAGCGUUAAUCGGAAUUACUGGGCGUAAAGCGCGCGUAGGUGGUUUGUUAAGUUGGAUGUGAAAUCCCCGGGCUCAACCUGGGAACUGCAUUCAAAACUGACUGACUAGAGUAUGGUAGAGGGUGGUGGAAUUUCCUGUGUAGCGGUGAAAUGCGUAGAUAUAGGAAGGAACACCAGUGGCGAAGGCGACCACCUGGACUGAUACUGACACUGAGGUGCGAAAGCGUGGGGAGCAAACAGGAUUAGAUACCCUGGUAGUCCACGCCGUAAACGAUGU
rnacentral:rRNA from 1 species